GGCGCGGACAGAUAAUGCUGCGCUCUAUGUGCAACGGUGGGACCUGUGGGCAGCCAUGCUCACGCCCUCCUAUCUUUGAGGUUAAAAUUUUUUGUUCUGUUGUUAUAGUGGUUGAUAAAAAUUAAAAAAUUAAUGUAUUCACUCUGCCUUUUUCAAUUUCUCUUGAUUCUAUUCAAUUAUUUUUUUUUGUGUUAGUUUAUAAUUUGUUCAAGCCGUCUAGGCAAAUUGUGUAAAUUUUUAUAAGCCGUCCAGGCUAAUUGUUUAUAAUUGUGUUUAAGCCGCCUAGGCAACUUUUGUAUAACCUUUUACAAGCCGUCAAGGCAAUUUUUGUAUAAUCUUUUACAAGCCGUCAAGGCAAUUUUUGCAUAAUUUUUUGCAAGCCAUCAAGAUCAAUAAUUGUUACUGUACAAUCAAAUAGUUAAGCAUAGAAUAAAAAAUAUAAUUAGCGACUAAUGGCGGUUACAAGAAAAUAUUUAGAACGAUAAAUUCAUUGAUCAGCUGUCAAUUAAAAGAGCGAGAAGUGUGAGAAUAUAGUAAUUAAGAUGAGACGGAUAUCCGUCGUGAAAGAGACGAUGUGUGCACUUAAUCAAACCGGUCACAUACAAGUGCCUUUGGUCGAAUUUUGCACAAAUCCCUUCUAUAAAUCAUAAAAUUAUUAUUGAUUAUAGACACUCGUUAUUGGAAUACUAACUAGUUUUUGAUGCAUCAUAAAUAAUGGCAAAACGUAAAAUAUAACAAAUAAUGGAGAACUGUUAAAGACUGAGCUUUAUUCUAAAUCUGUUUUUAUCCUCUGUAAAUUUUUUUAUUAUUAAUUUUAAUUUCAAGUUAUAUUCUUAAAUUUAUUUCUUACCAAUUCUAAAAUACCACAUUUUACAGAAAUCUGUAAUGAAAAUUAUACGUUAUAAUAAAAAUAUUAUACUAUUUGUACUAAAAUAGUUAUAGAAUCAUUAAUCAAUAUGAG